rnacentral:lncRNA from 1 species
ACUGUAAUUCCAUGAAGGAAGGAAGUGGCGGGAAAGACGCAGCUAACUAUUGCUGUUUUUCUUUUUAAGAAUCCGCAGUUCAUAAUGGAGCUAACUGUACUGGCUGUCGGAAGGAGGAGAUUCUGAAGAUAGGGAGGUAAUAUUAUCUCUUUUAAGAGAAUACUUUCCUCUGUAAUCCUGAGCCUUUAUUACAUUUAAGAACUUUAUCUACCAGACAGCAAAGUCUUUAAAUGCGGGGUAUGGAACGAUCUGAUUUGCCCGUGCUGAGUUGUGAGCUGCCGCCCCCAGGGCUGCGGGCUGUGCCGGGAGAGCUGAGAAAUCUCAGCCAGGCAUACUCAGCACCCUUAAAAUAGCUUCUUUCUGAGAAUUAGAGCCGUGAUGGUGGCCUCCCCAGCGCAAGCAGACAUCAUUCUGGUUUGUGGCUGGUGUGCGUGCGUUCAGCGUGUUGCUUCGCCGUCUUCCGUGUUGCCUUCUCUGCAGGGCGAUAUACUGCCAGCCUCGACCAAACUCGGAGCGGGAGACUUGGCGGUUGACAAGUGGCUCCAGAGCUCUGCCAGGGAGCGAGCUGGGCCCAGCCUGGGCCGCUCCAGUGCAGGGGUGCGCGCGCGCGCACACACGCACACACGCGCACACACGCACACACACGCACACGGGUCCUGUUCCUCGUUCACCCCUUUCCGUCCCUUUGCAUUUUCCUCGUAAUCCCGGGCUACGGGUCACAUUUUCCUUUUCCUCUCACUAGGUUGGCUUGCUGCUUCCUCUGCAGCUGUUGCAGAAAUUCACACGGAAUGGAGGCCUGGGUUGUGUUCUGGAUGGUAUCUUUGAUAAUUGACCCGUGUGUUAUUUUUUGUCAUUCUCAAACAUCCAAUGUUAGGGUUAAAGGACGAAUCUAAGAUCCUCGAAGAACAAAAUUCGUGCUCGGUUUGUAUCAAUAAGAAAAGCUUCUGUCUUCUCGAGCCGGGUUGCCAUGUGGAAUAUGCAGGUGAAAUUAAAAACGGGGUAAAACCCUUUUAUGAAAGACCAGUGACUGUGUCUGAGAAUGUUUAUAUAGGCUUAAGUUGUGGAAUGGUAUUUCUAUCUGUUUUCUUUCCUUCUUAAGACAAACGAUACACUUUUCUAGUCACCAAAAAUAUCUACUUCCUGAAUUAUACCUAUGGAAGGAUAUUAAUGGGACAAUAAGGGGUUUCAUGGUGUCCGUCCGAUUAUAUAAUUAGGAAAUCGGUAAGCAGUGUGGUAGCUGAAAUCAAGUUCUCCCAUGAAAGGGGCUAGUGUGCAUUUAAAAAAAAAAAAAAAAAACCUGCAGAAAGAAGGCUCUUUAAUCUUUAAAUCGUACGAUGUAUUUGGUUAACACAACAAGAAAGGGAAGUAUACCAAUCUCAGAUUCUUGUAUUGAUGCCUAGGUAGAGGUUGUAAGCCAAGGAAGCCGUUAAAAUGCCGCCUGGAAAAAAAAUGGUGAUAUCAAAGUGAUUACUUGGAAAGCAGUUUACAUUUACAAAACGAUUCACUAUUAUGACCUUGACCAACUUUUACACUUCAGACACUCGGGUUAUUACUUCCGUUUUUAAAAUAUCAGUCUAUAGCUGGUGUGCAGAACGCAAGGGUAUUUUCGAAUUGACUAGGUCGUGCUGGUCGUCUUAAAAUCAGCUACAGUAUUACAAAGUUGAAAUGUAAUAUGUAUUAAUAGAAGGAAAAUAUAAAAUUUAAUAUCCGGGCAACGGAGACCUCUAAACCUACUUUAAAAGUAUAAUCUUGACAUCUAUGACACUAUUUUUUGUCUUUGUUAUAUGGGUAGAAUUAUGGAUGUUCUACAAUCCAGAUGUCUUAUUUAUUAAUGCUAAAUUUUAUUCUCCAUAACGGACAUUUGAAAUAAAAGGUGUAGGUGGGAGAGUCAGAUUUUGAGGCAUAGGCUAAUUUUUUACUAAGCAUUAGUACGGAGAAAAGCCGCCUUGAUUAAUGUAGGCCUGUGAAAGAGGGCAGGUGAAAGUGUUUUCAGCUGAAAUUUACUAAUGCAGCAACCAUUUAAAUUAAAUGUUUGUUAACAUAACAGCGAUGGCGUUUUCUCCUCCUCCUCCUUGUGGUUUUGUCCAACUAGAUGUUACAGUGGCAGUUGCACUGACUGUUAAGUGUUUAAAUGAUGACACCAUUAUGUGAAGUGAUUUUGAAAUGAGAGAUUUCAGCCAAGAAUUACAUCUGCUCCCAUCUCCUUCAAAUCAUACUCUCUGGCAGUACAGAUUAUGAUUGAUUUGUUUGUGACAGAUUGCAGGAAACAGUCAUUGAUUUUUCAAUAUUUUACCUUAAAAUUAUUUACAGUUGUAACCAUGGGGAGGUAUUUCCAUGGGCUGUCAGCCCUUGAAAGACUGGGAUAAUAUUCCCUGCUCUCUGACAAGACAAAUUACCUGUAAUGAGUGCAGUAGCUGAAGGGUAUACUUUUAUUUUAAAAUAUGUCAAUAACCCCAGUGACUAAACGAAUAUUGAUUUAGCAUAAUGAAGCCUGAGUAAUGUGAAAAUGAGCUUUUUCCAGGAGCCUGGUAAAGACUUUCUUUUUAGCUGGUUGUAAGAAGCUUUCCAUUCUUUUCAACGAGCUCGUGGAGAUAAGGAGUUUUCUAUGCAAACCUUCAGGAGUGAUAGUGUUUGUUUGUGAUAACAACCAGGGGCCAAAUAUUUUGCCCUUCCUCUUAUCGAUCCGUUUUUCACAUCUUAUUUGGAGUCUUACCUUUAGUCAUGGAAUUUGAUUUGCUUGAUCUUCUCUUUUACCCGACUUCGUAUUUUCACAGUUGCAACAUAUUUUGCAUUAGCACCUCCGGUACCGAAUAUUAAAAUAUAACUAUGUGUACAGUCAUUCGUGGAUGACAUAAUAAUUAUCUUAAGACAUUUCAAAUGGGUUAUUGUAGUAUUUAAUGUGCCGCAUUUUAUGGUAGAAUAAUUCCCAGUCCCUGGACAUCAGCUUGCUUUCAGUGGGAAUGAAGAUUAAUUUACUCAGGCAUCAGUGCAUAUUUUCGUUUUUGUCCGACUCCCCCCCCCUUUUUUUAAAUGGAAUUCUCAACUUUUUAUGGAUGAAGAUCCCAUUACAUGAGGUCUUUCAAACCAGCAAUAAUAGUAGAGAAGUAUAUAGCUGUAUCUUAUAGUCCAUCAAGGAGCCUGAAGACUGGGUGCCUGAAUAAGUAUCUUCAUAUCUAACUUGGUAAGGAGAAAAUAGGGUAAACAUUCCUGGUAAUACAUAGCGGAAAAGUCAGUACUUGAACAAGACGUCAAACUGAUACUCAUGGGAAUCCAAUGUAUUUUCGGAGAAUUAAUAGUAAUAGAAUCUUAUUAAAAGCAGUAGGCAAAGUCCCUUUAAAAAGUAGAAAUGAGUUCUGAUUGAAAGAAAAUUCAGAUGGCUCUUGGGGAGUGCUAGGAUGCCAUUGGAAAUGUUACAAUAAAAGGAAAAAUAUAAACAUCUCUUUCGAUGGAAAAAAGGAUGGACUCUGGAACAAAAAAUUAUCGUCGCCCCCCCCCCACCCCAAGAAUUUACCUAAGGGUGUGGAAAAGAGAUGAUCUUUGUCAUCUGUCUCAGUUUGCUCUACAGCAGACGCGAUGCUUUAGAAAAUACUCACCCCAUGGUUUCGGAUGCUGUAAGAUUGGAUUUCUCCAUCCCGGCCCCCCAAUUCUUUCCCUCUUUCUAUAAACAGACCUUGGAAAACAGAAAUGUGAGGGCUACACCAUCAUCAUAUAUGAAACUGGUAGCCCAAAUUCUUCAGUCACUAAUUUGCUCUGUACUUUUUUUGAAGUUGAUGUAGCAUCUGUUCAACUUACCCGUAGACAAGGCGAUGUCUAUAAGGUAUGCCUUCCAGAAAAAGAAAUGAAUGUAGAUUUUAUUUUUCCCUCAGUAAUUUUUUUUAAGGAAAGCGUUAUUUUUUUCAGACAAAUCGAGGCUAAGGAAAACAUCUAUAUUGUUGUUUAGUUUAUUUUGGAAUUAAAUAAUAAAGGUAUUGUAUUCAGCACCUCUUGACCCCAUCGUGUAGUUUAAACGUUGUGUUCAUCUUACAGUGUGUGGGUAUAGCUACUUACGUGAAUGAAGUUCUGAUAAAUAUGUAGAUAGAGUGGAGCUUUUUCUGGGGAAAUUACUCUCUUCUGGAUACUAGGCCCUUCUCCAUGUUUAUUUCCCUUGAAAAAAAAUACCCUGCCGUUGUUCUUCUUUAGGGAAAAAUUAUUUCCGUAGAGUGUUUUUAAAUCAUGCAAGUCAUUGCCUGGGGUUGGCUAAAACCUUUAUUUUUUGAAAGAUUUAAAAAAAAAAUCUUUCUCGUAUUUGUAUCUAUUAAGAUAAACAGUUUACUUUGCUACGGUGCAUACCAAUCUAUUUAGUUAAUUUUUUUUUUUCCAGAAUUCAGUUUGCCAUGUUUGGUCUGACCUUCUAUGAUAGCUUAAUGUAGGAACAAAUUAGCAUAUAAUUCUAUUUUCCAUGUGACCUCAACCAGUUGCAGAACCAUACCACCACUUUUGGAGGGCAAUUCGAUAGCAUACGUGGAGUGUAGCAUUAAGUGUUUGCAAAUGUCCAGCGCAUCCUGGCUAACGUGAUAUCGAAAAUGUCGAAGUUGGCAGUUAGAGGAAAUACUCACCCUUAUUACUAAGGUAUUAAAACGCCUCCUAAAGGUAGCAUAUUUAAAAAAAAUUUUUUUUAAUGUUUUUAUUUAUUUUUGAGACAGAGAGAGACAGAACACGAGCAGGGGAGGGUCAGAGAGAGAGAGGGAGACACAGAAUCCGAAGCAGGCUCCAGGCUCCGAGCCGUCAGCCCAGAGCCCGACGCGGGGCUCGAACUCACGGACGGUGAGAUCAUGCCCUGAGCCGAUGUCGGACGCUUAACCGACUGCGCCACCCAGGCGCCCCAAAGGUAGCGUUUUUUAACUAGUAUACAUAAUUGAUUAGCGAUUUGUCUUCUCCCAAGCACAAAGCAGNNNNNNNNNNNNNNNNNNNNNNNNNNNNNNUUUUUUAACAUUUAUUUAUUUUUGAGACAGAGAGAGACAGAACACGAGCAGGGGAGGGUCAGAGAGAGAGAGGGAGACACAGAAUCCGAAGCAGGCUCCAGGCUCCGAGCCGUCAGCCCAGAGCCCGACGCGGGGCUCGAACUCACGGACGGUGAGAUCAUGCCCUGAGCCGAUGUCGGACGCUUAACCGACUGCGCCACCCAGGCGCCCCAAAGGUAGCGUUUUUUAACUAGUAUACAUAAUUGAUUAGCGAUUUGUCUUCUCCCAAGCACAAAGCAGCAUGGCAAAGUUCAGUGCGGUGGGUGAAGUUUGGGAUACUAGACAUUGACAGGGACAAUGAUCAUGCCAACUAAAUGGAUUUUUUUUUUUUUCUUUUAGAUUCAGCUGUCGGUCUUUGAAAUUUCCUGUGGUCUGUUCAACCUGGAUGCAGAGGACAUGGAGCGAUCAAGUACGCAAGAGGUCCAAGCGUGUUUUGGAUGUUCCCCUUGAUAGACUGCAGUAUUUUUCCGGUUAAGACCCUCAGCUGUCCUGCAGAAGAAGGUUAUUCUCUUCUUGGUCCAUCCAGUUUACUUGAAAUGCUUAGUAUUGUAGAGUAUCACCAAACAGUUUCUGUUUUCAUCCAAGCAUAGAAAGAAUAAAAUCAAUUCUAUACGUUGA